rnacentral:rRNA from 1 species
ACGGGGUGCAGCAGGCGCGAAACCUCCACAAUGCGCGAAAGCGUGAUGGGGUUAUCCCGAGUGCUGUCCGAUGAGGAUGGCUUUUGCCCAGUGUAAGAAGCUGGGAGAAUAAAGGGGGGGCAAGACUGGUGUCAGCCGCCGCGGUAAUACCAGCCCCCUGAGUGGUAUGGACGAUUAUUUGGCCUAAAGCGUCCGUAGCCGGCUCAGUAAGUUUUCCGUUAAAUCUAACGAUUCAAUCGUUAGGCCGCGGGAAAUACUGCUGGGCUAGAGGAUGGGAGAGGUCGACGGUAGUCUUGGGGUAGGGGUGAAAUCCAAUAAUCCCAAGAGGACCACCAGUGGCGAAGGCGGUCGACUAGAACAUGCCUGACGGUGAUGGACGAAAGCUGGGGGAGCGAACCGGAUUAGAUACCCGGGUAGUCCCAGCCGUAAACGAUGCGGGCUAGGUGUUGGAACAGCUACGAGCUGUUCCAGUGCCGCAGAGAAGUCGUUAAGCCCGCCGCCUGGGAAGUACGGUCGCAAGGCUGAAACUUAAAGGAAUUGGCGGGGGAGCACCACAAGGGGUAAAGCCUGCGGUUUAAUUGGAGUCAACACCGGGAAACUUACCAGGGCUGACAGCAGAGUGAAGGUCAGGCUAAAGGUCUUACUAGACAAGCUGAGAGGAGGUGCAUGGCCGUCGACAGUUCGUGC